rnacentral:rRNA from 1 species
UACGAAGGGGGCUAGCGUUGCUCGGAAUCACUGGGCGUAAAGGGUGCGUAGGCGGGUAUUUAAGUCAGGGGUGAAAUCCUGGAGCUCAACUCCAGAACUGCCUUUGAUACUGGAGAUCUUGAGUUCGGGAGAGGUGAGUGGAACUGCGAGUGUAGAGGUGAAAUUCGUAGAUAUUCGCAAGAACACCAGUGGCGAAGGCGGCUCACUGGCCCGAUACUGACGCUGAGGCACGAAAGCGUGGGGAGCAAACAGG